rnacentral:tRNA from 1 species
AAAUUAGAGCUUGUUAGAAAGUUUUUUAUUUACAUUUAAAAGUUAUUGUGCGAAUCAAUAUAAUUUGAU